GGUUGUUUAGCAUAGCGGACUAAUGCAGUGCCCUGUCAAGGCAAAGACCGCGGGUUCAAAUCCCGCAACGACCGCCA
rnacentral:tRNA from 1 species